rnacentral:lncRNA from 1 species
UUCCUUAGCAUGUUCAAUAUUCUCACCUUCAGCUUGCUUCAAGCUUGCAAUCAGGGCUUCUAACGAUUCUUUCCUAGUUGUUGCUACCCUUAUCCCUUCACCUAGCUCUUUACAAGUCUCCUUCAGCUCAGCAAUAGUUCCAACUUUUGAGGCUGGCUUUUUCAUAGCAGAUGUCAUGACAAUGUCUUUGACAUGACUGCCUUCAAACAGUUUAUAGUGCACUGAUAGAGCAGGUUUUCUUCUACUUGGUAAGUCAUUAGAACUCAG